rnacentral:rRNA from 1 species
GAUGAACGCUGGCGGCGUGCCUAAUACAUGCAAGUCGAGCGAACGGACGAGAAGCUUGCUUUUCUGAUGUUAGCGGCGGACGGGUGAGUAACACGUGGAUAACCUACCUAUAAGACUGGGAUAACUUCGGGAAACCGGAGCUAAUACCGGAUAAUAUUUUGAACCGCAUGGUUCAAAAGUGAAAGACGGUCUUGCUGUCACUUAUAGAUGGAUCCGCGCUGCAUUAGCUAGUUGGUAAGGUAACGGCUUACCAAGGCAACGAUGCAUAGCCGACCUGAGAGGGGGAUCGGCCACAGGGAAACUAGGACCCGGUCCAAACCCCCACGGGAGGCACGGGUGGGAAAUCUCCGGAAAGGGGCAAAGGCCUAACGGGGAAACGCCGCGGAAGUGUGAAAGGUCUUCGGCUCGUAAAACCCUGUUAUUGGGGAAAAAAAAAGGUGUAAUGAACGGGGCAAAAUUGACGGGUACCUAAGAAAAAGCCCCGGCCAAACUAGGG